CAACAGUACCAAAAGAAAAAAGAAAAAAAGAAAAAAAAAAGAUGAACGAAUGACACAGAAUGAAAAACUCUUCCACA
rnacentral:ribozyme from 14 species